CUGGGAAGGGAACUGGGAGCACUGGGAGUGCCCUGCCAGGACCUUACUGGGAGGACUGGGAGGUAGCAUUGCUAUGUCCGGGUUGCAUUGGGAGCACUGGGAGUGCCCUCUCAGGGUCAUACUGGGAGCACUGGGAGUGCCCUGUGAGGGUCGUACUGGGAGUACUGGGAACAGGAGAGGCAGGUACUGGUCGUACUGGGGGAUACUGGGAGCACUGGGAGCUGGCAGUGCCGGUCACUGGGGCCGGGGGGCAAUUGUACUGGUCUUACUGGGAGCUGGGGGUGGCAGCUGCUGGGGGCACCCUGUUGAGGCUGUACUGGGAAUACUGGGAGCACUGGGAGCACCCUGUCAGGGCUAUACUGGGAGCACUGGGAUGUGGGGGCAGCGUGUGGGGGCUGUGAGGGGGCACUGGUGGUGGUACUGGUGGUACUGGUGGUGGUACUGGUGUUAGUGGUGGUGUUAAUGGUGGUGGUACUGGUGUUACUGGUGGCGUUACCGGUGGUACUGUUGUCACCAGUGGUGCUACUGGUGUUACUGGUGGUGGUACUGGUGGCAUUCCUGGUGUUACUGGUGUCACUGGUGCCACUGGUGUCACUGGUGCCACUGGUGGUGUGUUACCAGUGUUACUGGUGCAGUGUUACUGGCGCUACUGGUGUCACUGGUGACAUUACUGGUGUCACUGGUGGUGUGUUACUGGUGUCACUGGUGAUGUCACUGGUGUUACUGGUGUCACUGGUAACGUGUUACUGGCAUUACUGGUGGUUACUGGUGUUACUGGUGGUGUUACUGGUGGCGUGUUACUGGUGUCACUGGUGUUACUGGUGCUGCAGUUACAGAAGCGCCCCCCUGGCCCCGUGACCCGCUGACCCCGUGACCCCCCGUGACCCCCAGCCCCCUUGCACACACGCGUGUCACACGUGGGCACCCUCAGAGGCGUGUGCAAGGUGCCCGGGGACACGCGUGGCACGCACACGCCUUGCACACGCCUUGCACACGCGUCCCGUGUGCUCACACGUGCCUUACACGUUACACACGCACCCACACGCGUUACACACGCACCCCACACGCUUGCACACGCACCCCACACGCUUGCACACGCACCCCACACGCCCAUGUGUGCCCCACACAUGUCCGUGUGCACCCCGUGUGCUCACAUGUGCCUUGCACGCUUUUGCACGUGUGCCCCACGUGCUCGUAGUGCCCUACACGUGGUUGCACGCACCUUACACGCGUUGCACACCCCCCAUAUGCUCACAUGUGCCCGCCACGUGUUGCACGCGUGCUCGUGUGUGCCCUACAUGUGUCCUUGUGCACCCCGUGUGCUCCUAUGUGCCCUACAUGUGUUGCACACGCACCCCGCACACUCACAUGUGCCUUACACAUGUGCUCCGUGUGCUUGUACGUGCCCUACACGUGGUUGCACGCACACACGAGGUGUUGCACACGCACCCCAUGUGCUCCUGUGUGCCUUACACACGGUUACACGCGUGCCCUAGACACGUUGCAUGCACCCUACACGUGUUGCACACGCAUCCCAUGUGCUUGUGCGUGUAUGUG
rnacentral:lncRNA from 1 species